CCUACGGGGGGCAGCAGUGAGGAAUAUUGGUCAAUGGACGAGAGUCUGAACCAGCCAAGUAGCGUGAAGGAUGACUGCCCUAUGGGUUGUAAACUUCUUUUAUAUGGGAAUAAAAUGUUCCACGUGUGGGAUUUUGUAUGUACCAUAUGAAUAAGGAUCGGCUAACUCCGUGCCAGCAGCCGCGGUAAUACGGAGGAUGCGAGCGUUAUCCGGAUUUAUUGGGUUUAAAGGGGGCGUAGGUGGGCUUUUAAGCCGGUGGUGAAAGUUUGCGGCUCAACCGUAAAAUUGCAGUUGAAACUGGGAGUCUUGAGUACAGUAGAGGUGUGCGGAAUUCGUGGUGUAGCGGUGAAAUGCUUAGAUAUCGCGAAGAACUCCGAUUGCGAAGGCAGCUCGCUGGGCUGCAACUGACACUGAGGCUCGAAAGUGUGGGUAUCAAACAGGAUUAGAUAUCCGAGUAGUC
rnacentral:rRNA from 1 species